rnacentral:rRNA from 1 species
AAAGGAAUUGACGGGGGCCCGCACAAGCGGUGGAUUAUGUGGUUUAAUUCGAUGCAACGCGAAGAACCUUACCAGGUCUUGACAUACCGAUAAAAACUCUAGAGAUAGAGCCAUAGUUAUAUCGGAUACAGGUGGUGCAUGGUUGUCGUCAGCUCGUGUCGUGAGAUGUUGGGUUAAGUCCCGCAACGAGCGCAACCCUUGUCUUUAGUUACCAUCAUUAAGUUGGGGACUCUAGAGAAACUGCCGGUGACAAACCGGAGGAAGGUGGGGAUGACGUCAAAUCAUCAUGCCCCUUAUGACCUGGGCUACACACGUAAUACAAUGGCGUAUACAGAGGGAUGCGAAAUAGUGAUAUGAAGCAAAACUCACAAAGUACGUCUCAGUUCGGAUUGAAGUCUGCAACUCGACUUCAUGAAGUUGGAAUCGCUAGUAAUCGCGGAUCAGCAUGCCGCGGUGAAUACGUUCUCGGGCCUUGUACACACCGCCCGU